GGGAAUCUACCUUUUGCUACGGAAUAACUCAGGGAAACUUGUGCUAAUACCGUAUGUGCCCUUUUGGGGAAAGAUUUAUCGGCAAAGGAUGAGCCCGCGUUGGAUUAGCUAGUUGGUGAGGUAAAGGCUCACCAAGGCGACGAUCCAUAGCUGGUCUGAGAGGAUGAUCAGCCACACUGGGACUGAGACACGGCCCAGACUCCUACGGGAGGCAGCAGUGGGGAAUAUUGGACAAUGGGCGCAAGCCUGAUCCAGCCAUGCCGCGUGAGUGAUGAAGGUCUUAGGAUUGUAAAGCUCUUUCACCGGUGAAGAUAAUGACGGUAACCGGAGAAGAAGCCCCGGCUAACUUCGUGCCAGCAGCCGCGGUAAUACGAAGGGGGCUAGCGUUGUUCGGAUUUACUGGGCGUAAAGCGCACGUAGGCGGACUUUUAAGUCAGGGGUGAAAUCCCGGGGCUCAACCCCGGAACUGCCUUUGAUACUGGAAGUCUUGAGUAUGGAAGAGGUGAGUGGAAUUCCGAGU
rnacentral:rRNA from 1 species